rnacentral:rRNA from 1 species
UACGGGGGGGGUAAGCGUUGUUCGGAAUUACUGGGCGUAAAGGGCUCGUAGGCGGCCAACUAAGUCAGACGUGAAAUCCCUCAGCUUAACUGGGGAACUGCGUCUGAUACUGGAUGGCUUGGAUUUGGGAGAGGGAUGCGGAAUUCCAGGUGUAGCGGUGAAAUGCGUAGAUAUCUGAAGGAACAUCAGUGGCGAAAGCGACCUCCUGGACCAAUACUGACGCUCAGGUGCGAAAGCGUGGGGAGCAAACAGG